ACAAGAGACACACCUACUUUAGGUGACUACCUUCUCACUAACAACACCCUUCUAGUUCAGGUUAACCUUUUUAUAGGUUUCACCUCCCCCCACUCCACCUCCCAGUUGCCAUUGCAGGGACUGUCCCUUUACAUUCAGGAGAGCUGAGUAGCUGUGGCCCUAAAGCAGCCAUUUUCUAAAUGGUUACUGUUUGCUACAGUUUCCUUUCUUUCAGCAGGUAUCUUUCAACCUUACUACUUUCCAGGCUUCUAACACCAAUUAAGUACAUGUUUUGGAUCAUUUUCCUCUCAAUAUACUGACUGGCAGUUUUUCAAGAUUCUUAAGAAGUGUGUACUCAAAAGACCUCAUCAUCACAAAGUCUGUUUCUAUGCAACUGUGAAUGAAAUGUCACAGCCCCUCAUGCUGUACAUGCAGCAAAAUGUAAACAAUGGAACUCUUCCCUCCCCACCCCCUAUCCCCAAGCACUUAAAAAUGAAGGCGGGCAAUGAAGUGUUCUCAUUCAUGGAUUCUGGGAACCUCCCAAUUAUUUUGGUCAGUUGCCUUGUAGUUGUAACAUAUACAUGAGCACCUUGAAUUGGUUCUCUUGAAGGCAUAUGAAUUUCUAGAGCCAUCGAAAGACAGACAAAAACAUCCUCCCACAACUUCUGUGGCAUCACAAUCAAGGAUGAUGGAAAAGGAUUAUAACAACACAGAGAUAUGGAAAGUGCACAAAAUCUGAGCAUUUAGGAUGCUCCCUACAGGCUUUCUUUAGAUGGCAUUUUUCUCUAGAAUUUAAGCUUUUGGGUGUUUUAAAAUACUGUAUUUCUAAUGCAUAGAAAUUAAUCCAAAUCAAGCUUCAUAUUUUACAGGAGGGGCUGAAAUCCAAACCUGGAUCUGAAGCUCAGAUUUGCAAAUGCCUCCUAUCCUGAUAAAGGGCAAAACCAAAUUGCGGAUUCAAAUACUCCUGAAAUUUGGGAUUCAAAGGCCAGAUCUGAAUUUGGGGACUUGACCAUAUAUGUAUUAAUCACCAAAUUCUGCUGUCAGAUGAGUGCACAUCAGAAUAUAAGUGCUCCAUCAGACUGAAAUAAGAACACAAAAGGCCAGGUUGUGUCAUUUAGCCACUUACUCAUUCAGGGUGUGGUGAGGAGCCACCUCUAGGGGAAAGCAUAAUUUCCUCGACAGCAUGUAGAACAGGAGUGAGAAUGAUGUCUUUCCCCUGGCAUGCCCAGUCUGUGGUGUGAAGCAGGGAAGGGACCCUCCUCCCUGUCCAAUCUGGGAUGGAUUGUUCCACUGGGAGACAGCCCUGCACUCCCCAGAGAACAGGAAUUGCUGUCGUCUGUAGCCCUUGUGUAGGGAGGGUGGGGGCCAACUGGGGAGGUUACCCCCAGCCCAUACACCUGAGCAAUGGUGAGGGGCAAUCUCCAUAACAGAAAUGUUAUUUCCAUGGGGUUUUCAGUGUGAAAUCCUAUUAUUAUCCUUACCAACUACAUAUUGUUAGCCGGAAACAUCCCAUUUGAGGUGUUUAUACAGUGUGAUGGGGUGUGCUUGUCACAUCUUAACAUUCCAUCCAUUUUAAAUGGAAUUCAACUCCAAUGAUUAAAGAUAUGGAGGGACUGAUUUAAGGGGUAAGAUCUAAAGAAUCAAAUAUGUAUAAAAUAGCUAAAUAGUGUCAAAGAAGAAGAUAUGACAACUGUCAACAAGCAGUUGAAAGGUGUGACUGCCAAGGAGGGAGAUGAAUUGUUUAUGAUGCUUCAAACAUGCAAAGGUAGAAGUAAUGAGGUAAAAUUAACCAAAAGAAAAAUUUUGACAACCUCUCAGGAAAAUGACUGGAACAUUAUCUCCUGGGAAGGGUCAGGAGCCAUAUAUAUCACUGGAGCCAUAUAUAAAUAGAGACUGGAGAUGGACAGUAAUCUGGAUCUGUGUUAAAUUUACACAAAGGAUCAAAGUUCAGGUUCAAAGCUGAUGUAAUAGAAAGGAUGGAGCUGGGAUUCGAUGUCAUUGAAGUCUUGCAUUCUGUUCUUACUCACAUUCCAAAAUGAUAGAAAUCUGUUGAGAUUAGCUGUUCUCACCAGAUGUCUCCCAUUUUGUGUAGAUUUUAUUCCAUGCUUAAAACUGGAAUCUUCAUGGAAGUAACCAUAUGCCCUUUCUCUUACAGAAUUGAGCAGUUUUCCAGAUCACAUUAGGAAUUCUCUCACUAGGCAUGGUUUCCCAGAGCCCAAAGAAGCCCUCCUCAUAUUUGAGGCAGCUUCCUCUGGGCUCUGGAAUACCCAAUUGUUUCAACUUUCCCCGCCAGUGCCUGAAUAUGCUCUUUAUAUGCAUAAAAACAUAACACUGUUCACCUGGGAAGCAGGAGAAAGACACUGGGGAGCCAGAGGGGUGAAGAGGGUACUGGGGAUCCACAAUGGGAUUGUGAGGACGCACCAUGAUGACGACAAUCACUUUCUCCCUGCUUGAUGUGGGAGGGGUGAGUGUCAUAGAAGUCUCUGGUCAUUGUGCAUCUUAGGAGAUGUAGUCUGGUCAGAGAGCCUUACCCACAGCGGAGAAUGGGAGCAAUAAGGUACUCAAAGUGAAGACGACACAGAGCAGUGCAAGGGAUGGAAGAGGCCUCUGAGCUGACCCUUGAAAAAGGAAACCUUCUUAGUGGCUGAUGGGUUGAGGAGAGAGGACAGUAAGCUGUCAGUCUGCCAAGAUAACCUGAAACCACAGGAAAGAAAGGGCAGUGUUUGCGGCACAGUAGUUGGUCAGUAAGCGAGAGGCCUUGAAUCAAACGGUUUCCAAAUCUUAUUGCAGUAGUCAGGAGAAGAGCCUACGUCACAUGACUUCCCCGCCAUCAGCUCUAACCUGCAUACACCUUGUCUCUUGAAGGCAUAACUGCUACCUUUCAUUCUAGAUACUUGCAAAUUUGCAUGCCAUGUUACAUCUGCACAUGAUAAUUAGUAGAAACCAUUAUUUCCCAGGGAAACAAUGAGAAUUGGAGUCAAAUGCUCCUGGGCUAUUAUACGGGGUAAUGCUUUUGUUUUAGCUUCUAACAGUGUGAAAUUUACCAGGCCUCACCAUCAGCUUUUGGCAGAACUGAUCUCCAGUAAUUACCAAUUUCCCUACAAUAACCCAUUAAAUUAAUAAGAAAAACAACAUGGUGGGCUUCAUGGAUUUAAAAAAUAACAAGCUCCAAAACUAAACCUGAUGGCCCAGCUUGGCAGUCUAACAGCAAUGCAAUGUACUGUUAUAGUUCUCAAAGGUUGGAGCUCAGGGCCUGAGUUUCCUGGGUUGGCAGAAGCUGGAAGUAUGCAGAUGAAAUUCAUUCAGUCCAUGGGGAAUGGGAGCAUUCUGUAUUGUUCUUAAGUGACCUCUUUUCUCUGAUUCAGUUGUAAUAUUGAUACACCACAGAGACAGCUGCCUCCUGCCCUCCUUCUGAGGCAGGAAAUUAAGUUAUCUCUCUGAAGUACCUUUGAGGAUGUGGAGGAUAAAAGGGGAAAAUGAGGGAAUCCAAAAUUAUUUCAAAGGGGACAGGAAAGAAGGUUAGGGAGUUGAGCUGGUCUUUCAUAGUCUGAUUCUCUAUCAUAUCAAAGGUGGAUUAUAUCACUUUUCACAACUGCCCAGGUUCAGUGAGGGUUUUGAUGGGGAAGGGAAAAUGUCUUCUUUUGAUUGAUAAAGUGUUGGCUGCUCUGACAAGUAAGACAUUAGACUUCAUGGACUGCAGGUCCAGUGUGGUGUAGCAUUAUUUUGUUCCUCCACCUACUCCAAUUAUUUAAUCAUAUGGGCCUUUUAAAAUGUGAAAAUGCCUUGACCCAGUUUAUCAGUAGUUCUUGUAAUACAAGAGAUUUUCUCUCAACAUCCCUCAUACAAAUUAAGAUUUUUUUCUCUUUAUUCGAUAGCUUCCCCCCCCCCCCCCCCGGCAUAUUAAACUUAUGUGUUUGAAAAUGACUUAUGUACUUUAUGGAAAUAAAUCAUUUGCAAGCAAUAUCAUGCCUAAAUCGGUCUCCUAUGACAACUGAGUCAUUUGCAGCCCCGCAGAAUUAGAAUUGACACUAAAAGCACAGGAUGAUUUAAGGGAAAUGACAGACUUGUGCUCCUGCAGUGGUAAAAUACUAUAUAUUUUAAGAGAGAAAAGGGCCUAGAAGAGUGCAUAUCUCCACAUUUCUUAUUCACCUUUAAGAACCUAAAGACACUUGUGUAAAGUAAUAUUAUAUGUAGUUUUAAAAAGCAAUACCUAAUUAACAUUAGAUUUUUAGCAUCUAGGACGCAUCAGUUAGCCAUUUUUUUCCCCUAUACAAACCAUGCUAUGGACAUUUGUGAAUGUGCAGCAGCAGCGCAAAUAACAGAGAUGACACAAGCAAUAUGGGAACAGACAAGUGGUCCUGUGCUAAUAGAGAGAGAUCAUGAUGAUGGAGAUGAAAUGUUUGGUCUCUGUGGGCAAGGUAAAGAUACAGAGUGCUUGUUAUGUUAAUACCCUCUAUUGUUUGGUUUCUGGAGCCUCACUGGGUUUAACUUGGAAGUACUCUGCUUGCUUGUAACAUGUGCAAAAUGGCACCUGGUGUCUGAGACAUGCAGCCUGGAGCCUAUAUUCUCUGGCCAAAUCAUUUGCUGCAAAAUCUGCCCUUUGCUCCAGAUGAAUUAAAACUGGAGGCUACUUUUUAGUCUGGGCACUCCUUGGCUCAUUAUGCCUGUCCUUUUCCACUCCCCAAACCUCCGCCCAGCCUGCCUUUAAGCAAAUUUGAGUGACUAAUUAGGUUUGCUUACCCCUUUGUUUGCUGAUGACUCCCUUUCAGAGCCUGCUUCUUUUUCACUGGCUGGACUAUUGACCUUCUUUGGAUUUUUUACCAUCUAGCCUCCUCCAUUUUAACAAAGGUGGAACAUCUCAUUCUCUGUAGUUUAGCUUCCUUUGUUUCUACCUCUAACUUCACCUAACAGUCCAGCAUCUCCACCUUUUCCCUUCAGCUUUUAUUUUGUCCCCUUGUAGUCUUUGUGCAUAAAGAGGAACAUAGCACAUCAAGCUGUUGGGAUUCUUCAAUGCUAUUCUUUACAAGUGCUAUUGCUUCCUUAAUUCAGAAUCUCUUGUUACUUGUUGGAACCUAUCAGUUUCAAGGGGCCUGAUUCUCUUCUCACUGCACCUGUGCAAAUCAAGAACAGCUUCAUUUAAGCCAACAGUGCUACAUGGCUGUAAAACCAGGGUAAGUCAAGUGAAAAGAGAAAUAAGGCCAAGAUUUUUUGCAACGCCUCUGUUUGCAAUCUCCUGUCCAUUGUCUAACUAACAUUUUCAGUUAUCUGUACUUAGUACCACUUAUCUCUGUUAGUAGGUUACCAUUCUGUGCCUAACUCCCACUUUGAGCAGUUUACCUUUUUUGUGUGAAUUCAUCCUGUUGUGGGCUUUCCUCUUAGUUGACCCGUUAGAACUCAUGCUGAAUGACACCUCCUUUCUAAAUGUCUGAAAUGGGUCCUGCAAGCAUGUAACUAGAGGGGCAAGACAUGGAAUAUUGCUGAACAUUAGAGGAUGGAAGAAGGUACAAACUAAAAAUAGGCCCCAGAGCAUAAUUAAGAGGAUCUGAGAGAGUCAUACUGCCAAGUGAACAGAAUGUCUGGGAGUACUAUGAAGGUGCCAGGUCUCUCAUAUGACCACUUUGUGAAAAUCCUGGCCUCAUGGAAGUCUAUGGGCAUUUUGUUAUAGAUUUCACUGUCGGAGUAGAGGAUUUCACCAUAUCUCCAUAGCCUAGCAUUCCAUAGAUUUCUGCCCCCCCCCCCCCCCCCCCCCCCCCCCCCCCGGGCCCCGGUCUUGCCAGUUAUUUGGUUUCCCCAAGCCCCUUUCUUUGAGAGAAAAAUGCAAAAGAAACUCUGGUAGGUAAACCGCAAUGUUUCUUGAGUAUAAUUCCCCUUCCCAUGGGCUUUCCUCCAGGGAGGGAACAUGUGGCCUGGUAUUUUUAGUGAAUAUUUUUUAUUUUGUGAGAUAACAUUUUAACAAAUCAAUUUUGUUACUGUGACUGUUAAGUACAUUAUGAAAAGAUUAUGCCAGCAUUUGGUUUGUGUGUAUUCUAAGUAUAGUUCUGGUUGUAAUAUUCAUGCCCAUGUAAUUAAAUGCUGUUUUGUUGCUGGAAUGUAACAUUAUUGCCUCAGCCAGAUAAUUAGAUAGGCUGUUCAUAUGUGACAUGCGAUUUCUUUGUCUUUGAGCUUUUGUCUCACUUUUGGGGAGCUAGGCUAAGUGCAACCCCUCUAAAUCUGUUUGUUUAAUAGACACAAACUUGAGACCAGUAGAUGAUAAUAUUGUAUGUGGUGGGGGAUGUAGCAAUCAGGCUGAUGCAAGGUUCCUAAUAUGAUAUACCAUGGUUGCUGAAAGAGACUUCAGAAAAAUAUAAGGCUUCUGGGUUUUGUUUUCUUUUUACCUUUUUGACUGACCGCUUUUCAUUUUUUAAUUGAAAAAAGGGAAAAAAUACAAAAGUAAUUGUUGGAAAAAAUAUGCUAAAUAUCACAUUGCUGGGGAAGCCACUUCUUUUAACGCUUGCUCAUGCUUUCCAUUAUAUAUCUUGGCCCCAAUUCUCUGUUUUGUCUGAGGCUGAGCUAGUCACAGGAAAGAAGGUAGCAGGCAAAGGUGACGUAAAGAUUCUGGGGCUGACCAGCAUAAGUCAGAGCUUCCUAUGGAUCCUUAUAGAUAGUAAAAAUAGCUAGAACAUAAUUAAGUGUAGGCAUGUCACCUUGGUAUUUCUACCUACCCUCUUACCUAC